rnacentral:rRNA from 1 species
CCUGAGAAACCCAAAAGAUCGAAUGGGGAGAUUCAUCGUCAGCUCAUUUUGUAUAUAUUCGAGAUAUGAUAUGGGUUACUACUUGUAGUAUUGCCUGUACUUUCUUGUCUAUUUUAUUGCAAGAUUGUGUCGGCGUGCACUUCUCCUCUAGUAGGACGUCGCGACCCGUUAAGUGUCGGUCUACGGCCCAAGUGGUAGCCUUGAAUUUUGUAUAAAAUUUAAGACCCUUGGUGUUUCCUGACUGGCUGCUUGGCGGUAUUCAUACGGUAUUAAGCCGCUUUUUUGCGUUCAUAUCCGUCGCAAGCGCGGUGAAUUUUUGGCAGUACGGACCUCGUGCCGUCGCUAAAAUUUAUCAGCUGUUGGUUGUACGGUGUUCUAGAACUGGCUUAUAUUAUAAUAUACCGGUCAGCGAUGCUUCAGCUUUGGGUACUUUCAGGACCCGUCUUGAAACACGGACCAAGGAGUCUAACAUGUACGCAAGUCAUUGGGAUUGUUUAAUAAAUUAAACCUAAAGGCGUAAUGAAAGUAAAGGUCGACCUUGUGUCGAUUGAGGGAGGAUGAGUUGUGUUAAGAUACAGCUUCGCACUCCCGGGGCGUCUCGUUCUCAUUGCGAGAAGAGGCGCACCUAG